rnacentral:rRNA from 1 species
GAUGAACGCUGGCGGCGUGCCUAACACAUGCAAGUCGAGCGAUCUUCUUCGGAAGAGAGCGGCGGACGGGUGAGUAACGCGUGGGUAACCUGCCCUGUACACACGGAUAACAUACCGAAAGGUAUGCUAAUACGAGAUAAUAUGCUUUUAUCGCAUGGUAGAAGUAUCAAAGCUCUUGUGGUACAGGAUGGACCCGCGUCUGAUUAGCUAGUUGGUAAGGUAACGGCUUACCAAGGCGACGAUCAGUAGCCGACCUGAGAGGGUGAUCGGCAACAUUGGAACUGAGACACGGUCCAAACUCCUACGGGAGGCAGCAGUGGGGAAUAUUGCACAAUGGGCGAAAGCCUGAUGCAGCAACGCCGCGUGAGCGAUGAAGGCCUUCGGGUCGUAAAGCUCUGUCCUCAAGGAAGAUAAUGACGGUACUUGAGGAGGAAGCCCCGGCUAACUACGUGCCAGCCGCCGCCGUAA